rnacentral:rRNA from 1 species
GACGAACGCUGGCGGCGUGCCUAAUACAUGCAAGUCGAACGGACAGGCGCUGCUCUUGCUGCGUUCUCGAGUGGCGAACGGGUGAGUAACACGCGAGUAUCCUGCCCCUGUCAUUCGGAUAACUUUACGAAACUGGGGCUAAUAUCGGAUAUGAGCUCCUGCUGCAUGGUGGUGGUUGGAAAGUUUCGGCUGUUGUGGAUGGUCUCGCGGCUUAUCCGCUUGAUGGUGGGGUAGUGGCUUACCAAGGCUUUGAAGGGUAGCCGGCCUGAGAGGGUGAACGGCGACAUUGGGACUGAGAGACGGCCCAGACUCCUACGGGAGGCAGCAGGGGGGAAUCUUGCAGAAUGGGCGGAAGCCUGAUGAAGAAACGCCGCGUGCGGGAUAACGGCCUUCGGGUGGAAAACCAAUUUCGCAUGUAACGAAGCGUGAGUGACGGUAAUGGGUAAAGAAGCACCGGCUAACUACGUG